rnacentral:rRNA from 1 species
GAUGAACGCUGGCGGCGUGCCUAAUACAUGCAAGUCGAGCGAACAGACGAGGAGCUUGCUCCCUCGACGUUAGCGGCGGACGGGUGAGUAACACGUAGUUAACCUACCUAUAAGACUGGGAUAACUUCGGGAAACCGGAGCUAAUACCGGAUAAUAUUUCGAACCGCAUGGUUCGAUAGUGAAAGAUGGCUUUGCUAUCACUUAUAGAUGGACCUGCGCCGUAUUAGCUAGUUGGUAAGGUAACGGCUUACCAAGGCAACGAUACGUAGCCGACCUGAGAGGGUGAUCGGCCACACUGGAACUGAGACACGGUCCAGACUCCUACGGUGGGACGCAGUAGGGAAUCUUCCGCAAUGGGCGAGAGCCUGACGGAGCAACGCCGCGUGAGUGAUGAAGGUCUUCGGAUCGUAAAACUCUGUUAUUAGGGAAGAACAAACGUGUAAGUAACUGUGCACGUAUUGACGGUACCUAAUCAGAAAGCCACGGCUAACUACGUG